rnacentral:rRNA from 1 species
GACGAACGCUGGCGGCGGGCUUAACACAUGCAAGUCGAACGGAAAGGCCCUGCUUUUGUGGGGUGCUCGAGUGGCGAACGGGUGAGUAACACGUGUGUAACCUGCCCUCGACUUUGGGAUAACUUCAGGACACUGGGGCUAAUACCGGAUAGGAGCUCCCGCUGCAUGGUGGGGGUUGGAAAGUUUCGGCGGUUGGGGAUGGACUCGCGGCUUAUCAGCUUGUUGGUUGGGUAGUGGCUUACCAAGGCUUUGACGGGUAGCCGGCCUGAGAGGGGGACCGGCCAAGUUGGGACUGAGAUACGGCACAGACUACUACGGGAGGCGGCGGUGGGGAAUAUUGCACAAGGGGCGGAAGCCUGCUGCAGCAACGCCGCGUGCGGGAUGACGGCCUUCGGGUUGUAAACCGCUUUCGCCUGUGACGAAGCGUGAGUGACGGUAAUGGGUAAAGAAGCACCGGCUAACUACGUG